rnacentral:rRNA from 1 species
UACGGGGGGGGGCAAGCGUUGUUCGGAAUUACUGGGCGUAAAGGGCUCGUAGGCGGCCAACUAAGUCGGACGUGAAAUCCCUCGGCUUAACCGGGGAACUGCGUCCGAUACUGGAUGGCUUGAGUUUGGGAGAGGGAUGCGGAAUUCCAGGUGUAGCGGUGAAAUGCGUAGAUAUCUGGAGGAACACCGGUGGCGAAGGCGGGUCUCUGGGCCGAUAUUGACGCUGAGGAGCGAAAGCGUGGGGAGCGAACAGG